AGUGAACGCUGGCGGUAGGCCUAACACAUGCAAGUCGAACGGCAGCACAGUAAGAGCUUGCUCUUACGGGUGGCGAGUGUCGGACGGGUGAGGAAUACAUCGGAAUCUACUUUUUCGUGGGGGAUAACGUAGGGAAACUUACGCUAAUACCGCAUACGACCUACGGGUGAAAGCAGGGGAUCUUCGGACCUUGCGCGAUUGAAUGAGCCGAUGUCGGAUUAGCUAGUUGGCGGGGUAAAGGCCCACCAAGGCGACGAUCCGUAGCUGGUCUGAGAGGAUGAUCAGCCACACUGGAACUGAGACACGGUCCAGACUCCUACGGGAGGCAGCAGUGGGGAAUAUUGGACAAGGGGCGCAAGCCUGAUCCAGCCAUACCGCGUGGGUGAAGAAGGCCUUCGGGUUGGAAAGCCCUUUUGUUGGGAAAGAAAAGCAGCAGGUUAAUACCCCGCUGUUCUGACGGUACCCAAAGAAUAAGCACCGGCUAACUUCGUG
rnacentral:rRNA from 1 species